rnacentral:rRNA from 1 species
GACGAACGCUGGCGGCGUGCCUAAUACAUGCAAGUCGAACGAAGCUGUUUUAACUGGUGCUUGCACCGACUUAAACAACUGAGUGGCGAACGGGUGAGUAACACGUGGGUAACCUGCCCCAAAGCGGGGGAUAACAUUUGGAAACAGAUGCUAAUACCGCAUAACCACAGAAACCACAUGGUUUCUGUGUCAAAGAUGGUUUCGGCUAUCACUUUGGGAUGGACCCGCGGCGUAUUAGCUAGUUGGUAAGGUAAUGGCUUACCAAGGCAAUGAUACGUAGCCGGACUGAGAGGUUGAUCGGCCACAUUGGGACUGAGACACGGCCCAAACUCCUACGGGAGGCAGCAGUAGGGAAUCUUCCACAAUGGACGAAAGUCUGAUGGAGCAACGCCGCGUGAGUGAAGAAGGUUUUCGGAUCGUAAAACUCUGUUGUCAGAGAAGAACGUGUGCGAGAGUGACUGCUCGUGCAGUGACGGUAUCUGGCCAGAAAGCCACGGCUAACUACGUGCCAGCAGCCGCCGUAA